GUGUUCUUACAAAUUCAGCUCUUUGACAUAAAAUUGAACUUUAACAUCUGUCGCUAGAAGGAAUUGGUUUCCCUUGAUUGCAUUAAAGUUAAUAAUUUGCCACUAGUACAUUUAAAACAAAUCUUCUUAUCAAUUGGUUCAACCUGUUAGUACUAUGUGUGCUGCAUAGUGUCUCUUAAAAGUUUUAGGCAAGCAAAAUAUUUGCAAGAACGUUACCCAACAGGUUGCAUUUGUUAAAUUACACAAAUAUGUUUUCAGUUCAUGAAAAGAUUCCAGGCAAAAAGUUUUCAAAUUUACAACUCUGUGGGAUAAACAUGUUAGGGAGAGGCAUUAUGAACUUGAAGCAGCUACUCAAAGUACCAGUUAGGAGCAAAAGGAUAGCUCCAGAGAGCAUGGGUGAUAUCCAGGAGUUCUGGAACUGCGGAGAAAGGCUCUUCUAGAUCUUAAAACAGAACUAGAAAAUUAAAACCUGAGAGAUAUGCAAUGAUAAGAGGGAAAAAGACAAGAAAACAACAAAUAAACCCAACUGAGACAGACAUUGAACAUGGGGGAAUUAAUGUUUGUUGCUACAAUCCCUUACUCUAGGGAGGAAGACUAUGGCAGAGUUUCCAUCCAUUCACCAGCCUAUGAUCUCAAUCUACCAAACGAUAAUACCCUGCUCUCCAAUGAUUUCAAGCCUACGUUUCAGACAUGGACUAGGAAAACUUGUGACAAUCUGAAGUCAGAGCUGCAACAACCAGGUGGAAGAAUGAGAAACUAUGGAUGCACUCAUCCAUGAAGUCUGCAUUGGAACGACUUGAGAAACUACAAGUUCCUCCUGGUGUGAGAAAAUUGACCGUCUGCAAGGAUGUUGCCCAGGGGACACCCAGAUGUUUGAUGUUUUACCAUCCUUGGUCAGCGAAGGAUAAGAGGGAUCCUCUCACCUCUGCAGGAGUCUACCAUGCAGCUGUGGACAAGUCUACAUAGGGAUCACCAAACGCAGCGCCCAAACACGAGUCAAAGAACAUGAAAGGCACUGCAGACUAACUCAACCAGAGAAAUCAGCCCUAGCAGAGCACUUGAUGAACCAACCUGGACACAGUAUAUUAUUUGAGAACACAGAAAUGCUUGACCACUCCAGCAAUUAUCAUGUCAGACUACACAGAGAAGCCAUUGAAAUUCACAAGCAUGUGGACAACUUCAACAGAAAGGAGGAAACCAUGAAAAUGAACAAAAUCUGGCUACCAGUAUUAAAAAAACUCAAAAAUCAUAACAGUAAAUAAGAAGCAACACUUUGAAAACAGAGUUCCAGACAUGAAUCAACCAAGGGCAGCUAACGAUUUUGAACAAAGGAUGCCCCCAGGCAGGAAGAAGCCAGGAGAUGAAGCUAUUCAAUGCUAAUUAAGGUGAUUAACUACAACAUUCACACUGGCCUCCAACUGACAAAGAGUUCUUCUCUCACCCUGGACUUUCCACAGAUCUAUAUAAACCUUCCUUGUUUAGUUUCUCCAUACCUCACAACCUCUGAGGAUGCCUGCCAUAGAUGUGGGCGAAACGUCAGGAGAGAAUACUUCUAGAACAUGACCAUACAGCCCGGAAAACAUACAACAACUAAAGACCUUCUUCUACUCAUUAGCAUAUGUAGAGGAGGAUUAAUUAAUGAGAUACCACUUCCAGAUCCUGAUUGAGAACUAUGCUGUAUCUGGCUUCUGUUAAUCAAUGUCAGGCCAUUUACCACCGUAGGCCACAUAAUCCAACCCACACAACUCUGUUGAACUUCAGUUGACUUUUGUAAAUUACUGUGAACAUUUAUUUAGAUUUAUGUCACUAUAUAAUUCUUGCCUGAUUCUGUCUGACUAUAUUGGUUUAAGUUACUGAUGUUAUACUCAAUUCAAUGAUGUUAGGUUUAAUUUGAUGUUAGGUUUUUAACUCUGUAUUCAUAUGUGGGGUUUUGUUGGGAUUUGUUGGCCCUAAGAUUCCAGCAGGACUGAAAUGUUUGGGGAGAGGUUCAGCACACCUGCAGCUCAGUUAAUGUAGCCCCAGCUGUUUGUAUUGAAUGAUCAGUCUCCCUAGACAAGGUAGGCAGCAAAUCCUCUCUGACUGCUGGAAACAAUAUUGGUUGUUCACUCUGUGAAAUACAUCAAGGCCAUCUUAGAAGCUCUGCCCUGUUUUUGAAUCCAAACUACUCUUCUGCAUGCCUCCCUUGUUAUUUUUGUCCCCCAGCUUCUGACUGAUAGCCUGGCUCUUGAUCUCUGGAUCUACUGACCAAUAAUCUGGCUCUGCUAAUCAAUCGCAUAGCUUCUCAGUUCCUCAAAUGAAUUGUGAGAACUAUGUGUUUUCUUGUGGUAAUGAAUUGUGAAGUCCCAAAGUACAAAUAGUGCUUAAAAAUUGCAUAGAAACACUAGUAAUCAGAAGAAGAAUAAGCACAGAUUUAUAUUCAUAAAGACCCACUUUCCAUGUAGGUGACAGAUCUUACAUGUCUUCAUAUAUAAAUACUAAAAAACAAAAAAACAAAUCCAAACCAUUGAUUAUACUCUUGCUCCAGAAUGCCCAACAUAGUUUACACAGAUAGUAGUCCCAACUUUUACUUUUGUUUUUUCUAGAAACAUAGUACCCAGAAGAGGGGGAAGACUGUAGGGUUGGAGAACAUUUAUCCUCCAAAUGUUUGGGAUUUUAGCUUCCUUAGUCUUUUGUCAUUGAUUUUGCUGGGUAAGACUGAUGGGAACUGAAGCCCCAAAGAUUUGGAGAGCUGUGGUAGCAUAAAUAGUAAUUAUAUACGGCAGUAUGAUCCUUAGUGCUAAUAAGAAUAGCUAUUAACUAAUUACAUCAGUAUGUCAUAUGGAAUUUGACUCCCUCUGUUUUCCCCACUUCAGAUUAUGUAGAAUCAAAGGGGAAAGUCACCUUGACUUUCCAAUCACAGGGAGAAAUGUGUUCUCCUGUUUAUCCUGACAGAAAAUCAGUGCACUCUGCAUUGCUCCAGCUAUCACAUGCACUGUGGCUUCAAAACUGUCCAGCAGGAGAUUGAUUUCUGCAAAUGGAAUCAGCCUCAUGGCAGAUGGAAGUCAUAUCUUCUAAACAGAAUCUCACUCCUCUGGGUAAGCGAUCCUUCUCACAUGUGAAAAAACACAUUAGCUUAGUGAGGACAGUGGGGAAUUGAAUCAUGACAUAAUCCAGGGAUAUUUUAUAGGAGCAGAGGAAGUUGCUGAGGCUAAUGGAUUGAUUGAUGAAGGCAGAGAAACCACAAAUGAAUAUAAGAUAUGUUCAAAUUAAAAGAAAAUUCAAUUCACAGACGGCAGCAGCAUUUAUAUCACAGUCAUGAUCUCACUGAAACAAGCAAAAGUCAGGAAGUCCUUCAAGCAGGAACAUUGCGUUUUGACUUUCACAUGCCUGUUCAGAGCAGAAAAAUAGACUUUGUGAAAAUGCAAUUAAAAACUGAUGUCUCCAUAUUAAAUUGCAUGCUAUAGUAUCCCAGAUCACUUACACAUGGAAUCUGAUAAAAAAAACAAGUUUAUAAUAAAUAAAAUUAUAAAACAGUAUGA